UCUGGCUAAAAUAUUUUUUCUUCUAAAUGCAAAGAAAAUAAUUGACUCUUACUGAUAUUCUUGAAUUUUAUUGGGAGGCACACUGGAAAUCUGAACUGUGAAGUUUUUCUAUUUUUAAAUAAUUGCAGUAGCAAAGCUUUUUCUCUAUUUGUGGCUCAAGAAAAUGAGUCCUUAUGUCUGACUAAAGCUUGAUUUAUAUAGCUGCAAUUUUGAGUGACCAUUGAUGCUUACAUUCCUAACAUUAGGAGAUUAUUUAAGGAGGGGCUGCCUAUUCUCUGUUACCCUUUUAACUUGGGUAAUUGGUAAAAACCAGCCUGUUUUAUUGAAGUACUCUGCAAAAAAAAGGUAUUCAAGGUACUUAUGCAAUUAAACAAACACAACAGAAGUACACUAAGAUAAAAUUCUCUAAGUCAGUUAUUCAUCAAUCACUAAUACCAUGCAAAUGCCAUCUAUUCAUGAAGGGCCCCUGUAGAACCUGGAAAGCUAACUGGAAAUGGUCUUGCAGUGAGCCUUAAAAGCUGGGGAACUGAGAGAGAAAUCUGCCCCUGAUCUUACGGCUUUCAUUCUGAUCAGUGUCCAGAGGAGAAUUUACUGCAGGUCAAAUAAAAACUUUGGCUUAAGAAAAACUAAUUAGAAAAUCUUGUUCAACCAGGAGUUCAAAGAAUAAGCAAAUAUCAUGUUGUGAAUAUCUCCUAAAUACUGGAAGGCAAUGAAAUGUCAGUGCCCUCUUCUGUUGCUAUGAAGCCUUUUUUUCCCUAAUUAUGUACCUUACUAGUUACAUUGGUUCAUUUUUUAUCUUAGUUGUAAAGCUGAGUAGGCUACAAAACCUGUUUUUUAUGUUCAGAUUGUAUAAUACUGGAAGAAACUAAGUUGAUAGAGCUUUGAUUCCUUGCAUUUAAAGCUAGCUUUUAUUAUACAGCUGAAUUUGUCUGAAACUAUAUGAUGAUGAUUGGAUUUCCAGAAAGAUUUUACCAUGUGAAAUUAAAUCAGAUGGGUAGUUAAAUAAAUAAAAUGCAUAUUUGAAAAAAAAUAGCUAAAUAUGAGAACAGUUAUUAAGCACUCUUUAUCAGUUACUUUAUCAUUAUAUUUAUCAGUUACUGGUAUCUUUACUUGUACCAAUAUCUACUUCAUGGUAGCUGGAAACAUGCCCAGAAAAUCAGGCUCUUCUUAGACAUGUCCUAACAUCAGUUCCUUGUAGAACAUAAGGCAAGAAGUAUCCAUAUUGACAAAGGCUUCUGACAAAAUCUGCCAGUUGCCUCGUCAUGUUUUUAAAAGUUUAGUUUAGGAAUAGUCCACUGAAUUCCAUAAGACGCAUGUAACCUAAAAGUACAGAAGUCUGCAUCAUGUAGUCUUUUCAGUGCAGUAAAUGCUAUCCUGAAGACUCAAAUCUGUAUGCAAAAUAUGAAUUACAUAUAGCUCAUUGCAGUUAUCUUUGGGUGUAUUUUCAUGACUCCACAUCUUUCAAGAUAAAAGGAAAUACUGUGUGAAUAGUAGCGAUGUAAUCAGGGAUGGAUGGAUGGGAUACUGCUAAACAAGGCACAAGUAUUUUUGUUUUUCAAUUAUUUAAAAGCAAAAGCUUUUGGGACAUGGUUUUCAGGCAUGAUAUGCUUCCAAAUGUAUUUUAAGGUCUUGUCUGCUUAGGUUGUCCCUGCUGUCCAGAGCUGCUGUCUUCUGGCAGGUAACAUAAACCAGCAAAAGAUUCUGAUGAGGCUACGUUCUGCUUUCUCUGAAGCCUCAACGUUGUGGGGCUAGGCACGUAUGUUUGUUCAAGCUACAUCUAGGGUUUUUCUCCUUGUGACUUUUAAAUGCAGCAACUCUGAGGAAUCAAUUUCUUUUCUACUGCUUAACUGCUUGUGUUGAGACAGUUGAAAUAUUUGGUUUUGUGUUUUCUCUCAUUCUUUCCUAACGUGACUGUUAGCAUUUUAAAAAGUAGUAGUAGUCCUGUCAACUGGGAAUAAUUUGUCUGUAUGGAGAUACUAUAUAGCUUUCUGGUGUGUUACUGUCUAACUUCAGUGCAUCUCUGGAAAGACUUCUGCAGAGUUCUGUAACCUACAACAUCUUUUCCUUCAGGACUAUGUCCAUAUUGCUUUUCUUAAGCUUCCAUUUGCAAAGUAUACAGGACAACAAUUCCUUUAAUACUCAUAAAUUAAGUUCCUUCUUGCUAUAUCCUUGACAAAUUUCACUGACUCUUCAACAGCAUCAAUGUCUGUUGUUUAUAGUGUCCCAAAUUGCAUGCUAGGUUUUAUUUUUCUGCAACUAAUAAGUGCAAAAUAUAUAAGUUGCACAGAUGUAUAAGCAGUACUCACAGCUGCAUUCUGUUGAACUUAUCUUCAGAGAACAAACAAUUAAACCAACUUCUGUUGAUUGAUAACUUAAAUAACUGUUUUUCUUUUCAUUCAGUACAACACAUGGUCUAGUUAAUUCAUAUCAAAGGUAUUUGUGUAGUUGGUAAUUAUUCUGUGGUGUUUUAUUCUAUUUCUUGACAAAGGACCUCCUUCCUUUUUAGUAGAUAUAUGUACCCAUCUGGUCAUUUAAUAAGAAUCUUUCCAAAUUUGUCAUCAAGUUUGCUGACCUAUUCACUUCUCUUGUUCCUUAAUAGUGACAUAAAGCUAGGCUUAUACCACUGCGAAUCUUUAAGUAUUUGGUUCAGUGUUUUUCUUUAAUAGUUAACUUGUACAGUUAUAGAUUGGUCUUACCUUGUGUAAUUUCAAAUUUUGCUUUAUCUGGUAGUAAUGCCCCUGUAAAUGAUGUUUAAUGGGAAAUACUUGUGCUAUUGAUUUCUCGAUAAAAGCCAAAUAAAAAUUUGCUUUGUGCAGCUGAAAAAUUGAUCCAAAAAAGCUCAAUAUUUUUAAGGACAUGAAAAUAAUUAGCCGAAGAGAUGAACUGAAAUCCAUUCUUUUCAAUCCUUGUUUCUUCUGCAUAUUAGUGUGUUCAUUUAGAGUAGUUCCUGCAAGAAAGGUAUGCACAGUAAACAAAGUAUAGGUAGAGAAUUAUAGUAAUCCAUUGCAAACACCAAAGCAGUAAGAAUCACAACUAAAACCUCCUGGUCUGGUGUUUUGAUAUAUACAUGCACUGGGAAUUCAGUUUGUUCAUAUCCAGAGGCUGUACUUAGGUAGUUGGCAGUGUUUGCCAGCAUGAUCAUUGGCCCGUCAAGGAGCUUAUCCACUGGAUUAAUGAAAAUACCCAGUGAUCAGUUAUGAAAAAUAAAUAAGGUAAGAAGUAAUGCAUAGAGUGCACAUCCAUGCAGUCUGAGUGACCAAAAUAAUCUGUUUCAGCUGAGUCUCUCUCCAAAAAGUUUUAUGCAUGUUCCUUUUGCUCUGCCUCAGUAAUAGUGAGGUUACUUCCCCUUGGGAGUGUCAGCAUCCUAAACCAGAUUUGUAGCACUAAUAACUUGGAAGUAAAGAUCAAACCAUGGUUUAAAAGUUGAGAAACCAAAACUUUGUGAUGUAGAUCCUCCACUAUAUCUUUGGAACAAGCAAGAAGAGGUUGUUUUUGCUAGAUGUGUAUUUGCAAAGUUACACUUUUGAUUGCCUUUUUGGGAGUUUAGGUUGCUGCAUAGUGAAGUAUCCUUCUCUUGUAUUAUGAUCACUGGACUUUAAGUCUGAAAGGGGUCUUGCUGACCCAAAGCAUGGUUGACAGUACCUGUGCCACUUCUUACACCUGUGUAGUUUAUUUUGAUGUUUUCUAAUGAUGGAUUUCAGUGUCUCUGGUAGUCUUUCUAAUGCUUUGGAAGUAGAAAGUAAGGGGUUUUGUUUUUUUCUCCCAACUGUCUUGCCUUAAUCAUUGUCAGUAUGCACAAUUUUGUUCCUUCUUAGCAUUAUGUAUUUGUUUCUUUCUCAGCUCUUCUUAAAGACUUUCUUGUAAUCAUGUAUUUUUGACUUCCUAUCUGUCUUGCCGUUCUCUUCUGGACUAGAAUUUCCCACAUGGAAGGCCUUUAUCAGUUGAGACCUUGUGCUGCCCUACCAGUAGAGACAUCUGCUGCAAACAAAAAGGUUUCAUCAAGGACCGAAAGGUGCCCCCCUUAAUUGGUGAAAAGGGGAGAGAAGGACAAAAGGCUUUCUAAAGUUCAGAUAUGCAUUUUACCAAUUCUGUCUUGACAUAGCAUCUUGGGAAGAAAUUAAAUAUUUUAAUAGAAGCCCUUUUUAUUAGCUUUCUUUCUCUUUUCUUCCUUGGGUGCUUGCAAAUACUUAUUCCCAGAAUUGAAGUUUCAGAAAAUUGACCAAAAAAUACGUGGUUUCUUACUGUAAAGGAGAGAAAAUUUAAACAUUCAGGGUGUCAUUGGUUCUUCAUGCAAUGUUCUUGCGCAUG